GAUGAAGAACGCAGCGAAAUGCGAUAAGUAAUGUGAAUUGCAGAAUUCAGUGAAUCAUCGAAUCUUUGAACGCACAUUGCGCCCGCCAGUAUUCUGGCGGGCAUGCCUGUUCGAGCGUCAUUACAACCCUCAGGCCCCCGGGCCUGGCGUUGGGGAUCGGCGGAGCCCCCCGUGGGCACACGCCGUCCCCCAAAUGCAGUGGCGGUCCCGCCGCAGCUUCCAUCGCGUAGUAGCUAACACCUCGCGACUGGAGAGCGGCGCGACCACGCCGUAAAACACCCAACUCUUCUGAAGUUGACCUCGAAUCAGGUAGGAAUACCCGCUGAACUUAAGCAUAUCAAUCGGAGGA
rnacentral:misc_RNA from 1 species